rnacentral:rRNA from 1 species
UACUAGAGUAGCACUCGCAUAUCAAUAAGCGGAGGAAAAGAAACUAACAAGGAUUCCCUUAGUAACGGCGAGUGAAGCGGGAAGAGCUCAAAUUUGAAAUCUUCAGGGUUUUACCUUGACGAAUUGUAGUUUAAAGAAGUGUUUUCUGUUGGAGUUUUGGUAAAAGUUCUUUGGAAUAGGACAUCAUAGAGGGUGAGAAUCCCGUAUUUGACCAUUAUUUCCAGCUGUGUGAUUACACUUUCAAAGAGUCGGAUUGUUUGGGAAUGCAGUCCAAAAUGGGUGGUAAAUUUCAUCUAAAGCUAAAUAUUGGCGAGAGACCGAUAGCGAACAAGUACCGUGAGGGAAAGAUGAAAAGAACUUUGAAAAGAGAGUUAAACAGUACGUGAAAUUGUCAAAAGGGAAGCGUUUGACACCAGUGUUGUUUUCUCGAAAAUCAAUUAAAAAUGAUGGGAUUUUGUGUUGUAUUGACUUUAUCAGCUUUCUGCACUUUUUUCUUAUCUUUUUUAAUGCACUUUUCGUUUAACAAGUCAACAUCAAUUUCUUUUGCUUGUAAAAGAGUCAUUGGAAGGUGGCUUUUUCUUCGGAGAAAAGUGUUUAUAGCCUUUGGCUUCUGCAAUCGGAGAGAUUGAGGUCUGCAGCGUAGAUCCUUCGGGGUUAGAUAGCAUUUGUGCUAAGCUAUAGUUCUUUAUAGACAACUUGUUGACUAUAAUCAAUCCUGUAACUUACUCGCUUAUGCUAUUUUACCUACGCUUAGGAUGUUGAAGAUAUGCGCGACACG